UACCAGCACCCCGAGUGGUCGGGACGAUUAUUGGGCCUAAAGCAUCCGUAGCUUGUUCUGCAAGUCCUCCGUUAAAUCCACCUGCUCAACAGAUGGGCUGCGGGGGAUACUACAGGGCUAGGAGGCGGGAGAGGCAAACGGUACUCAGUGGGUAGGGGUAAAAUCCGUUGAUCCAUUGAAGACCACCAGUGGCGAAGGCGGCUUGCCAGAACGCGCUCGACGGUGAGGGAUGAAAGCUGGGGGAGCAAACCGG
rnacentral:rRNA from 1 species